rnacentral:rRNA from 1 species
AACGAACGCUGGCGGCAUGCCUAACACAUGCAAGUCGAACGGGACCUUCGUGUCUAUGUGCGCAGCGCUACUUAACACCUGGGGACUUACCCUUAGGUUCCGAAUCACUCCCCUAAGGGUGUCCUAAUGCCAGUUGGUGUCUUCGCGCCAAGGAUGUAUGGCCUUUGGGUGGGGCCGGGUUGGAUUAGGUGGUUGGUAGGGGAAAAGCCUACCAAGGCGACGAUGCAUAGCUGGUAUGAUAGGAUGAUCAGUCAGAAUGGGAAUGCGACACGGCCCAGAACCGUACGGGAGGCAGCAGUGGGGAAUAUUGGACAAUGGGCGAAAGCCUGAUCCAGCAAUGCCGGGUGAGUGAUGAAGGCCUUAGGGUUGUAAAGCUCUUUUACACGGGAUGAUAAUGACAGUAACGGGAGAAUAAGCUCCGGCUAACUCCGUG